AGAGUUUGAUCCUGGCUCAGGAUGAACGCUAGCGACAGGCUUAACACAUGCAAGUCGAGGGGCAGCACAGGUAGCAAUACCGGGUGGCGACCGGCGCACGGGUGAGUAACGCGUAUGCAACUUACCUAUCAGAGGGGGAUAACCCGGCGAAAGUCGGACUAAUACCGCAUGAAGCAGGGAUCCCGCAUGGGAAUAUUUGCUAAAGAUUCAUCGCUGAUAGAUAGGCAUGCGUUCCAUUAGGCAGUUGGCGGGGUAACGGCCCACCAAACCGACGAUGGAUAGGGGUUCUGAGAGGAAGGUCCCCCACAUUGGUACUGAGACACGGACCAAACUCCUACGGGAGGCAGCAGUGAGGAAUAUUGGUCAAUGGGCGUAAGCCUGAACCAGCCAAGUCGCGUGAGGGAUGAAGGUUCUAUGGAUCGUAAACCUCUUUUAUAAGGGAAUAAAGUGCGGGACGUGUCCCGUUUUGUAUGUACCUUAUGAAUAAGGAUCGGCUAACUCCGUGCCAGCAGCCGCGGUAAUACGGAGGAUCCGAGCGUUAUCCGGAUUUAUUGGGUUUAAAGGGUGCGUAGGCGGCCUUUUAAGUCAGCGGUGAAAGUCUGUGGCUCAACCAUAGAAUUGCCGUUGAAACUGGGGGGCUUGAGUAUGUUUGAGGCAGGCGGAAUGCGUGGUGUAGCGGUGAAAUGCAUAGAUAUCACGCAGAACCCCGAUUGCGAAGGCAGCCUGCCAAGCCAUGACUGACGCUGAUGCACGAAAGCGUGGGGAUCAAACAGGAUUAGAUACCCUGGUAGUCCACGCAGUAAACGAUGAUCACUAGCUGUUUGCGAUACACUGUAAGCGGCACAGCGAAAGCGUUAAGUGAUCCACCUGGGGAGUACGCCGGCAACGGUGAAACUCAAAGGAAUUGACGGGGGCCC
rnacentral:rRNA from 1 species